UUAACACAUGCAAGUCGAGGGGCAGCAUGAACUUAGCUUGCUAAGUUUGAUGGCGACCGGCGCACGGGUGAGUAACACGUAUCCAACCUGCCGAUGACUCGGGGAUAGCCUUUCGAAAGAAAGAUUAAUACCCGAUGGCAUAAUUCUUCCGCAUGGUAGAAUUAUUAAAGAAUUCCGGUCAUCGAUGGGGAUGCGUUCCAUUAGGUUGUUGGCGGGGUAACGGCCCACCAAGCCUUCGAUGGAUAGGGGUUCUGAGAGGAAGGUCCCCCACAUUGGAACUGAGACACGGUCCAAACUCCUACGGGAGGCAGCAGUGAGGAAUAUUGGUCAAUGGACGAGAGUCUGAACCAGCCAAGUAGCGUGAAGGAUGACUGCCCUAUGGGUUGUAAACUUCUUUUAUACGGGAAUAAAGUGAGGCACGUGUGCCUUUUUGUAUGUACCGUAUGAAUAAGGAUCGGCUAACUCCGUGCCAGCAGCCGCGGUAAUACGGAGGAUCCGAGCGUUAUCCGGAUUUAUUGGGUUUAAAGGGAGCGUAGGCGGACGCUUAAGUCAGUUGUGAAAGUUUGCGGCUCAACCGUAAAAUUGCAGUUGAUACUGGGUGUCUUGAGUACAGUAGAGGCAGGCGGAAUUCGUGGUGUAGCGGUGAAAUGCUUAGAUAUCACGAAGAACUCCGAUUGCGAAGGCAGCUUGCUGGACUGUAACUGACGCUGAUGCUCGAAAGUGUGGGUAUCAAACAGGAUUAGAUACCCUGGUAGUCCACACAGUAAACGAUGAAUACUCGCUGUUUGCGAUAUACAGUAAGCGGCCAAGCGAAAGCGUUAAGUAUUCCACCUGGGGAGUACGCCGGCAA
rnacentral:rRNA from 1 species